rnacentral:rRNA from 1 species
UAAUACGGAGGGGGCUAGCGUUGUUCGGAAUUACUGGGCGUAAAGCGCGCGUAGGCGGGCUGGUUAGUUGGGGGUGAAAUCCCGAGGCUCAACCUCGGAACUGCCCUCAAUACUGCCAGUCUUGAGUUCGAGAGAGGUGAGUGGAAUUCCUAGUGUAGAGGUGAAAUUCGUAGAUAUUAGGAAGAACACCAGUGGCGAAGGCGGCUCACUGGCUCGAUACUGACGCUGAGGCGCGAAAGCGUGGGGAGCAAACAGGAUUAGAUACCCUGGUAGUCCACGCCGUAAACGAUGGGUGCUAGUUGUCAGGCAGCUUGCUGUUUGGUGACGCAGCUAACGCGUUAAGCACCCCGCCUGGGGACUACGGUCGCAAGACUA